GCUGUAGUGGCUUCGUCUUCGGUUUUUCUCUUCCUUCGCUAACGCCUCCCGGCUCUCGUCAGCCUCCCGCCGGCCGUCUCCUUAACACCGAACACCAUGCCUUCAAUUAAGUUGCAGAGUUCUGAUGGAGAGAUAUUUGAAGUUGAUGUGGAAAUUGCCAAACAAUCUGUGACUAUUAAGACCAUGUUGGAAGAUUUGGGAAUGGAUGAUGAAGGAGAUGAUGACCCAGUUCCUCUACCAAAUGUGAAUGCAGCAAUAUUAAAAAAGGUAAGGUCUUUAAAGAGUUUAAGUUUAUUCUGCUUAAUAUAUAACACCAAUUGAUUAAUACAAGUAAUUCAACAAUCUAUGUUAGAAUUUUAUAAUUUACUGCUUAAAAUUACAUUUAAAUUUGAAUGUUCUUAAACACUUACUUGAGUGAUGUUUGUAUGUUCUUAAAAUAUACAGAAAAAAGUUCUGUCUGCUUUCUUGCCACAGUUGACUAUUGUCAUUUAUUGGGCAUCUGUACUGUGUCUACCUAUGCAAACACUUCCCUAGGAAGGAUGAUCUACAUGUAGAAUAUCUGGAUCGCAGGUCAUUCAGUGGUGCACCCACCACAAGGAUGACCCUCCUCCUCCUGAAGAUGAUGAGAACAAAGAAAAGCGAACAGAUGAUAUCCCUGUUUGGGACCAAGAAUUCCUGAAAGUUGACCAAGGAACACUUUUUGAACUCAUUCUGGCUGCAAACUACUUAGACAUCAAAGGUUUGCUUGAUGUUACAUGCAAGACUGUUGCCAAUAUGAUCAAGGGGAAAACUCCUGAGGAGAUUCGCAAGACCUUCAAUAUCAAAAAUGACUUUACUGAAGAGGAGGAAGCCCAGGUACGCAAAGAGAACCAGUGGUGUGAAGAGAAGUGAAAUGUUGUGCCUGACACUGUAACACUGUAAGGAUUGUUCCAAAUACUAGUUGCACUGCUCUGUUUAUAAUUGUUAAUAUUAGACAAACAGUAGACAAAUGCAGCAGCAAGUCAAUUGUAUUAGCAGAAUAUUGUCCUCAUUGCAUGUGUAGUUUGAGCACA
rnacentral:lncRNA from 10 species